AGUUGGUGGAGUGAUCUGUCUGGUUAAUUCCGAUAACGAACGAGACUCUCACUUACCAAUAAGGACACUGUUUCCAAAUUGAAGUCGGGUGGAAACAUUAACUAACUUGAAGAUGUGUGUCUUCUUGGAAGGGUUAGUUGAACGAAGUAGCUAAAGAAAGAGCAAUAACAGG
rnacentral:rRNA from 1 species